UGGGGAAUAUUGCACAAUGGGCGCAAGCCUGAUGCAGCCAUGCCGCGUGUGUGAAGAAGGCCAUCGGGUUGUAAAGCACUUUCAGCGAGGAGGAAGGGUAGUGUGUUAAUAGCACAUUGCAUUGACGUUACUCGCAGAAGAAGCACCGGCUAACUCCGUGCCAGCAGCCGCGGUAAUACGGAGGGUGCAAGCGUUAAUCGGAAUUACUGGGCGUAAAGCGCACGCAGGCGGUUUGUUAAGUCAGAUGUGAAAUCCCCGCGCUUAACGUGGGAACUGCAUUUGAAACUGGCAAGCUAGAGUCUUGUAGAGGGGGGUAGAAUUCCAGGUGUAGCGGUGAAAUGCGUAGAGAUCUGGAGGAAUACCGGUGGCGAAGGCGGCCCCCUGGACAAAGACUGACGCUCAGGUGCGAAAGCGUGGGGAGCAAACA
rnacentral:rRNA from 1 species